UGCUGACGCAGUGGGACUACAGGAAAGGAAGGUGGGUUGUGGUAGACCGGGAUUCCCCUUAUGGGCUUCAGCAAGCCGAGGUCUUCGUGAUAGUCUUCUGAUAGUAGUGGGUGGUGGUGGUGGUGGAAGUGGAGAUGGUGAUGGUGGUGGCGAGGGUGAGGGUGGAGGCGGGGAAGCAGGCUGUUCCUUGAGUCGCCGGAGUAGGUGGCACUUGGGUUAGCUAAGGAGAGAGUGAUGUCGUCGGCCUUUGCCGUGCAAGGGUUGGUGAUGUUCUUGUUGAUACUCUUGCUGGUC
rnacentral:lncRNA from 1 species